GGGGCAGGAAGGGGUGUGAGGCAGGGCGGAAGAGAGCAGGGCCCUGGGCAGGUGCUGAGCCAGGUCCUGCAGGUCACCCAGUCGCUUGAGUCCACGAAUGCUGGAGGCAGGCACUGGAGAGCCAGGGUGGUUCAGCCGCAGCUCCUCUGAGCAGGGAGUCAAACAGGGCUGAAACAGACACCAGCUCUCCAGGACCAGCUGGAGCCUGGACCUGUGGCCUUCCCUGCCUCCACCUGGGCCUCAACCGUCACGACCACCUGGCCUUUGAGAAAUCAAAUGGCUCACGCUGUGUCUCAGAGCUGCAACGAUCCAACGCCCUCCAUCCUUCAGAGGCUGUCUGAGUCCGGGGACACAACUCCCACCCUCCUCUCCUGCCAGCCGCGGCCCGUGGCUGCUCUCUUCACUUCGUCCCGCUUCGCCCCGACUGUGGAUCUACCCGCUCCCUUCUCCCUCAGUCCCCAAAGCACCAGACUCACAGGCCUGCUGUGUGACCCACUUUUACCGACCUUUCGGGGAGAGUAGAGGGCAUUUGUGACUCAGCUCAGAGCAGGAAACACAUCUCACGUCAACUGUCAGACAGCGCUGCUCCGAAUCCCAUCACAGUGCUCCAGCAGGGGGCGUCCUCACCGGCCGCGGCCACAGCCACGGCUCAACCCGGCCUAGCUCCCAGACACCCUCCUUCCACCGCCUGUUUUCCACCGUCCCCGCCUGCUCUUUCAAGCCAGCAGCAAACAACACCCUAAUCCGUGUCUUUAUUAUUCAAAGACCUUAAGCACUCUUUCCCACCUCGUUCCCAUCUUGAUUAUUUCAGGGAAUGAAUUAGGGAUUCACCUUUACAAUCAAAAAAGUUCUCUCAAAGCCAGGCUACUGGAGUUCUAAUUCUGCCUUCCCACUUUUACUAGCUGUGAAAUCUCAGGAAAGUUACUUAACCUCUCUCUGUCUCAUUUUCCUCAUCUUUAAAAAACAGGAUGAUAAUAUUUAGCUCCUAAGAUGGUUGUGAGGAUUUAAGUGAGCUGAUAUAUCCAAGAAUGUCUAGAACAGCGCGUGGCAGAAUGGGCAUUGCAUAUGGGUUUAAUCUUGUAACUGCCAUGUUUCACCAAUUCUAAGGUGUAUCUCGUUUCUCAUCAUAAGAGCUCUUCCGCUCGUGUGGCAGCUGGGAGUGGCCGUCAUUGCCUGCGCAUACCUAAACUUGGUCAGGGCAGAAUGAUUGCUAGUCACACGUGAAGCAAGAAAACCCCGGCAAUAAAGCUUGCAGAAUGAGUGGCUGAGGCUUGAAAAUAAAUGGUGGAAACAAUAGUGGACAAUCUUUUAAAGAAUGGCACAUUGCCAAUGCUCCUGAUGGCACAGAAGGUGACACCAUGCAGAAAAUCAAGGCUCUGAGUCAAAGAGGGUUUCAGAAAAAUUGGACUCUGAAUGUGAAGAAAUCUGGGGACUAUUUUAGCCAAUUUGUUUUGCCUAUAAUUUCCUUUUAUGCAUGCAAAAGAGCAAUUCUGACUUUAAAGACUGAUAUCUAAAUAAAUCUAAAAUAUCUUUUUUGUGUGUGUGUCUGUGAUACAGUGUCUCGCCCUUUCACCCAGGCUGGAGUGCAGUAGUGCAAUCUCAGCUCACU
rnacentral:lncRNA from 10 species